ACACGUCAACACAGAAAAGUUUAGUUUUCGAACGGACUUGCUCUGCUGCUUGGACGUUGAAGGCCUGCUGGCAAUCCAAUCACUGUCAGCUCCUUUUAAAUUCAUUAGCAGGAACUAUGCAAAACUGGCCUCAGUUUGAUAAGAUUGAACUGUUGCCAAAGAUGCCAUUAUUUUUCCAGCUUCUAAUUGUCCAAUGAACCGGACUGUCUCGUCCAAGAGGCACAUCACCGAAUGACA
rnacentral:misc_RNA from 1 species